rnacentral:tRNA from 1 species
GCUUGAUUAGCUCAGCAGGUAGAGCAACUGGCUGUUAACCAGUGGGUCGUAGGUUCGAAUCCUACAUCAAGCGCCA